GGGGGGGGGGGGGGGGGGGGGGGGGGGGGGGGGGGGGGGGGGGGGGGGGGGGGGGGGGGGGGGGGGGGGGGGGGGGGGGGGGGGGGGGGAACCAGGGCACGAACCAGGGCACGAACCAGGGCACGAACCAGGGCACGAACCAGGGCACGAACCAGGGCACGAACCAGGGCACGAACCAGGGCACGAACCAGGGCACGAACCAGGGCACGAACCAGGGCACGAACCAGGGCACGAACCAGGGCACGAACCAGGGCACGAACCAGGGCACGAACCAGGGCACGAACCAGGGCACGAACCAGGGCACGAACCAGGGCACGAACCAGGGCACGAACCAGGGCACGAACCAGGGCACGAACCAGGGCACGAACCAGGGCACGAACCAGGGCACGAACCAGGGCACGAACCAGGGCACGAACCAGGGCACGAACCAGGGCACGAACCAGGGCACGAACCAGGGCGCCGCUUCCUCCCUCCGCCUCGGGCCGCCCCUCAGUGCGCUGCUCCCUCCAUGCAGGGACAAGGGACCUCAGAGCACGGAUGGCACCACCCGUGCCAUGUCACCCCCGUGUUUGCUGGGGGUGACGGUGUUUUCUGUGGCCAGCUGACCACCGCAGCUCUCCCCUCGGGGUGUGAUGGCCUGGCCCUCUCCCUGCCGUGCACAGGCCUUGAGCAGCUGCAGCAUGGCCGCCCCGUGCCUGCUCCCACCGAGGGGCUGCCCUCCUCCUCCACAGGCAGCGCUGCCUCUCCAAACACACACAGCGGCUGGUGCUGUUUGUCUGCUCACUGGAGAAGUUUUGCAAUGGAGUGUGAAGAGAGGGAUACAACCGUCAGAUUCAAUACACUGCAAAGAAAGACCAGCAUCCCAGGAUGUGAGAGACCUGUAAGGGCACUGCAAGCAGAUCUCAGGAGACACCACUGGGAGCUGAGGAUUGCUCUCCUGGGCAGAAGUACUUUGGUGGCUGUUGCAGGAUGUAGUGACUAUUUGAAAUUCUUCUUGAGAAGCCUGGUCUUCACCAGGCUUCUGGUAUAUUCUUGA
rnacentral:lncRNA from 1 species